rnacentral:lncRNA from 1 species
AUAUAUAUAUGAGGAGUUAUCAUCAAUUUCUUCUUUGACUUGUGCAACUCCAUGUGAGCACAAUUUGUAAAUUCAUUAGUUAUUUGCCCUCAGUUUAUUCUAAGGAGAGACCGAGAGCUCUUUGUCUAUCAUUUAUGUGAUCCAUCAGAUCCACAUUGCACCGUAGGAAAGCUCUAGCGGAGAGCUAUAGGAGAAAAUUUUGAAAGAUAAAUUAAGAAAAAGAACACAUUGAAUCAUUUUCCAUCCUGUGAUGACCAUUUGUGGUCCUUGUUGUGAAUCAAAAGAAGCCUAUUUGUUACAUAGAGAACGACUGAAUCCAAGUGAAAGUACGCCCUUUCAUUCCUCAUUCAUUGCCCUUGUCUAGUCUUAAUUCCUAUUGAUUUUGACAAAAUUUCAGCGAAUUAAGUUGGAAAUGGACUAAAAGGUUAUCUUGCAUCGUUUUCAAUCAAUGAUAUUCUGCCCCUGCAUCAUCUUGCGCGUUCAUAGAUUUACCACAGCCAUCCUAUUGUUUUGCUGAUCUCACCAAAAUCUGAUUGUCUGUGUACAUAAUGACAACCAUAAUGUUUUUUCCCCAUACAUAUAUAAUUCA